GAUGAACGCUGGCGGCGUGCCUAAUACAUGCCAGUCGAGCGAACGGACGAGAAGCUUGCUUCUCUGAUGUUAGCGGCGGACGGGUGAGUAACACGUGGAUAACCUACCUAUAAGACUGGGAUAACUUCGGGAAACCGGAGCUAAUACCGGAUAAUAUUUUGAACCGCAUGGUUCAAAAGUGAAAGACGGUCUUGCUGUCACUUAUAGAUGGAUCCGCGCUGCAUUAGCUAGUUGGUAAGGUAACGGCUUACCAAGGCAACGAUGCAUAGCCGACCUGAGAGGAUGAUCGGCCACACUGGAACUGAGACACGGUCCAGACUCCUACGGGAGGCAGCAGUAGGGAAUCUUCCGCAAUGGGCGAAAGCCUGACGGAGCAACGCCGCGUGAGUGAUGAAGGUCUUCGGAUCGUAAAACUCUGUUAGUAGGGAAGAACAUAUGUGUAAGUAACUGUGCACAUCUUGACGGUACCUAAUCAGAAAGCCACGGCUAACUACGUG
rnacentral:rRNA from 1 species